GAUGAACGCUGGCGGCGUGCCUAAUACAUGCAAGUCGAACGAAACUUCUUUAUCACCGAGUGCUUGCACUCACCGAUAAAGAGUUGAGUGGCGAACGGGUGAGUAACACGUGGGCAACCUGCCCAAAAGAGGGGGAUAACACUUGGAAACAGGUGCUAAUACCGCAUAACCAUAGUUACCGCAUGGUAACUCUGUAAAAGGUGGCUAUACUACCGCUUUUGGAUGGGCCCGCGGCGCAUUAGCUAGUUGGUAGGGUAAAGGCUUACCAAGGCAAUGAUGCGUAGCCGAAGUGAGAGGUUGAUCGGCCACAUUGGGACUGAGACACGGCCCAAACUCCUACGGGAGGCAGCAGUAGGGAAUCUUCCACAAUGGGCGAAAGCCUGAUGGAGCAACGCCGCGUGGGUGAAGAAGGUCUUCGGAUCGUAAAACCCUGUUGUUAGAGAAGAAAGUGCGUGAGAGUAACUGUUCACGUUUCGACGGUAUCUAACCGGAAAGCCACGGCUAACUACGUG
rnacentral:rRNA from 1 species